AAGUCGUAACAAGGUUUCCGUAGGUGAACCUGCGGAAGGAUCAUCAUUGAAAAAAUAUAAUUUUGAUCUAUUCAAAAAAAAACAAACAAACAAAUUCCAGGCGAAGAAAAAAAAAUAUCUUUGUCUUGGUCGUGUUGGUUAAUGUUAUCCAGAAACCUGUGUGGCCUGAUUAAUCUAAAAUUGGGUUUUUGGAUGUUUCAAAAAAAACAUUUACUAAUGUGUGCUUCAGGCCGCAAAUACCAAACCUGUUAGUCAAAAGUGGGCGGCACUUUUGACCAAACAGUUUAAUACUCACAACAACCGACCACCCAAAAAACAACUUUCGGCAACGGAUCUCUCGGCUCACC
rnacentral:misc_RNA from 1 species